GGGCCCGACCGGUUUUGACAGUGAGCGCGGUGGGUAAGUAAGCAUGUAGUGCGUUGUGGAUAUGGCACUUUAAUCCUAAUUCUCAAAACUAUAAUUGGCGAAGAGAAUUCUUACGCUAUGGCUGCUUAAUCAACUCAGUUGAUUCGGCCUUUGCAAACUCAGUAGCGUUUCUGCUUAGCGAUUGAGACCUUGCAUCAUAAAAUGGCAGGUUGUUUUAGUGAUGAUGUUAUCUAAAGCAAUAUUAGCAUCUAAGUUUAGCUUUGGUUUGAAUUUAUGCCUGGGUUAAAUCGAAAAUUAAAUAAGUUCUAAACGUGUAGAAAGCUUAUCAACUCCUUAUUUGGACCAGGGUUCGAAUCCCUGCGGGUCCACAA
rnacentral:tmRNA from 1 species